UUGAUCCUGGCUCAGAAUCAACGCUGGCGGCGUGCCUAACACAUGCAAGUCGAACGAGAAAGUGGAGCAAUCCAUGAGUAAAGUGGCGACCGGGUGAGUUACACGUGACUAACCUACCUUCGAGUGGGGGAUAACCUCGGGAAACCGGGUCUAAUACCGCAUAAUGCCUUCGGGUUAAAGGAGCAAUUCGCUUGAAGAGUGGGUCGCGGCUGAUUAGCUAGUUGGCGGGGUAACGGCCCACCAAGGCGAUGAUCGGUAGCCGGCCUGAGAGGGCGCACGGCCACACUGGAACUGAAACAUGGUCCAGACUCCUACGGGAGGCAGCAGUGGGGAAUUUUGCGCAAUGGGGUAAACCCUGACGCAGCAACGCCGCGUGGAGGAUGAAGUCCCUUGGGACGUUAACUCCUUUCGACCGGGACGAUAAUGACGGUACCGGUGGAAGAAGCCCCUGCUAACUUCGUGCCAGCAGCCGU
rnacentral:rRNA from 1 species